UAGCAAUACCAUGAGUAAAGUGGCGCACGGGUGAGUAACACGUGACUAACCUACCCUUGAGUGGGGGAUAACUGAGGGAAACCUUAGCUAAUACCGCAUAAUACCCACGGGUCAAAGGAGCAAUUCGCUCGAGGAGGGGGUCGCGGCCGAUUAGUUAGUUGGCGGGGUAAUGGCCCACCAAGACGAUGAUCGGUAUCCGGCCUGAGAGGGCGCACGGACACACUGGAACUGAAACACGGUCCAG
rnacentral:rRNA from 1 species